rnacentral:rRNA from 1 species
CCUACGGGUGGCAGCAGUAGGGAAUUUUCCACAAUGGGCGAAAGCCUGAUGGAGCAACGCCGCGUGGGUGAAGAAGGUCUUCUGAUCGUAAAACCCUGUUGUUAGAGAAGAAAGUGCGUGAGAGUAACUGUUCACGUUUCGACGGUAUCUAACCAGAAAGCCACGGCUAACUACGUGCCAGCAGCCGCGGUAAUACGUAGGUGGCAAGCGUUAUCCGGAUUUAGUGGGCGUAAAGGGAACGCAGGCGGUCUUUUAAGUCUGAUGUGAAAGCCUUCGGCUUAACCGGAGUAGUGCAUUGGAAACUGGGAGACGUGAGUGCAGAAGAGGAGAGUGGAACGCCAUGUGUAGCGGUGAAAUGCGUAGAUAUAUGGAAGAACACCAGUGGCGAAAGCGGCGCUCUGGUCUGUAACUGACGCUGAGGUUCGAAAGCGUGGGUAGCAAACAGGAUUAGAUACCCCUGUAGUC